UUUGCUUCAGGUUGGGGGGCUGUCUGUAAGCGAGGACUGGCUCGUCUCCCGAAGUCUGUAAGAGUGAGCGAUUGUCCUUCAGGAUAGGAUGUAGAUCCUUGAUGAUGCGCUGGAGAGGUAAUUUUCCCCCUGUUGAUAUUCACCCCUUCUUGUCAACUGUUGAGAAUAAGCUACUUCCACCUUGAUUGAUUUGGCCUAGUUAGCACUGACACCCCAACUUGGUAAGGCGACUCCCAUUUUUUCACGUGCUGUAAUAUAUAUCUACUACUUACUGUAUUUUUCACUCCAUGCAUUUGAUGAAGUGGAUUUUAGCCCACGAAAGCUUAUGACCAAAUAAAUUUGUUAGUCUCUAAGGUGCCAAAAGGACUCCUAGUUGAAAUUGCAUGUGGCAUUCACGGAGAUUCUGACUACAGUGGAACACCGCUUUUGGGCUCGGGAAACAAGCACUGAGUGGUGGGAUCACAUAGUCAUGCACGUCUGGGAUGACAAGCAGUGACUGCAAAACUUUCGGAUGAGGAAAGCCACAUUCAUGGGAUUGUGUGAUGAGCUGACCCAGGCCUGGCGGCACAAGCACAUGAGAAUGAGAGCUGUCCUGCCUUUGGAGAAGCACGUAGCGAUUGCACUGUGGAAGCUGACUACUCCAGACUGCUACCGAUCAGUCACUAACCAGUUCAGAGUGGGAAAGUCGACCAUUAGACUUGUGUUGCCGGAAGU